UACGGAGGGUGCGAGCGUUAAUCGGAAUUACUGGGCGUAAAGGGUGCGUAGGUUGUUGAUUAAGUUAUCUGUGAAAUUCCUGGGUUUAACUUGGGACGGUCAGAUGAUACUGGUUGACUGGAGUAUGGGAGAGGGCAGUGGAAUUUCCGGUGUAGCGGUGAAAUGCGUAGAGAUCGGAAGGAACACCGGUGGCGAAGGCGGCUGCCUGGCCUAAUACUGACACUGAGGCACGAAAGCGUGGGGAGCAAACAGG
rnacentral:rRNA from 1 species